UAUUGUUAUUCUAGUUUGAAAGUACAGUAGUUAAAUUUAUCUGCAUUCGUGACUAUGUAAAACUGAUUGUUCUUAUCAAUCAAGCAUUGAAUAAAUUCACGUUUCUGAACAAUUUUAUGUUUCUCAAAGUGAUGAUAAAUCGUAGCCAGAUGCCAUAAUGACGGUUUUACAAGCUCAACAGGCCUGAAGAAAAAUAAAAUUUAAAUAAACUAUGUUUACUUCGAACAAAACUAAACCUCGAUAACUUUUCACAGGUCCCUGGGAACCACCAUCUGCGUCAAUGAUCAUACAACACAUCUUUACGAAUGGUUCUUUCACUGCAAACUGUAAAGAAGACGGAUGAUUAUGCUGGUGUAAUGGAAGAUGAGUCAUGCUGCCUUCGAAGCUUGACGCUCCUGUGGCUUACAGAUGAGAUAACACGAUCACGCAUUCAAACGUUGACGUUCCAGUGACCUACAGGUAAUUAGACGUCUAUCUACCUAAGUCCGACGCCGCCACCAGAUUGUGAUAUAGGAUUUUUUUCGUGUGUAAUUGAUUUUAGUUUAAAUAAAAAAAAUAUAAUUU